rnacentral:rRNA from 10 species
GUACUGUAAGUGGUAGAGUAGCCUUGUUGCUACAUCCACCCACUGAGGUUAAGCCCUUGUUCUAAAGAUUUGUUC